rnacentral:snoRNA from 2 species
CAGAUCAAAGUUCACCUAAUAACAGAAGCCUUCCCUGAACCCCAUAAAAAUUAGCACCUCAUGGCACAGUGCUGUCUUCUGAACACAAAGCUGACACUAGGUGUUGCUUCUGCAACUACCCAUUGCUAUUGAUGGUCGUUGUUCUCCUUUGGGGAAAGUAAGAGGGAGGAGGACCCAGUCUGAGUGGU